UCACAACAAGGUCUGUAAUAUCACAACAACACAGUGUAAAAAAUAAGUAUUUCACAGCAGUAAACAGUAUUAUUACAGUGAAAUAUUGUAUUGAAAUGUGCCAUGGGAAGUCACAUGACAUAACCGAUCUGUUUUGAAUUGAAAGCGCUGUCGUCGUGUCCCUCUUCUAUUCCGGGCUGAAUGGAGAAGCAGGUAUCCUAGUUACAACAUGACUGAGCUAACUGGAGAGCCAUCCAAAAUCAUUUGGUGACACUGGCAAGCACGGUGAUACUGCUGGAGACGGAUGUCACUCUCUUCUGCAACAUGUAAAAAUUAGAGUGGAGAAAAAAAAUAGGAAUAAAGCUCUUGCUCAAUGCUGCAGAGAAAGAAGACCGCGCACUGGAAUGGCAGGAGAGGCCAGAGGCAAGAGGUCCUGUUGACCAAUACAGGUUGGAGCUAUACAUGGUAUCGCCAGACUAAGGGAACUGCUGGAUGAACAGGAGAAAGGUGUGUCAGGUGGGGCCCAGCAGAUUUGCCAAAGGGGGAGACCGAGGCAACAUUGGAGAAUAUAAAGAGGGAUCUGCUGAACAUCUA